GAUGAACGCUAGCUACAGGCUUAACACAUGCAAGUCGAGGGACCGGCGCACGGGAGAGUAACACGUAUCCCACCUGCCCUGUACUCGGGGACAGCCUGUCGAAAUAAAGAUUAAUACCCGAUAUAAAGGAUGGGGAUGCGUUCAGUUAGGUUGUUGGUGAGGGAACGGCUCACCAAGCCUUCGAUGGCUAGGGGUGCUGAGAGUAAGGGCCCCAACAUUGGAACUGAGGCACGGUCCCAUCUCCGACGGGAGGCAGCAGUGAGGAAUAUUGGUCAAUCGGCGCUAGCCUGAACCAGCCAAGUAGCGUGAAGGAGGAAGGCUUAUGGGUCGUAAACUUCUUGUAUAUAAGAAUAUGUAUUAUAUGAAUAAGGAUCGGCUAACUCCGUGCCAGCCGCCGCGGUAAUAC
rnacentral:rRNA from 1 species